UACGUAGGGGGGCAAGCGUUGUCCGGAUUUAUUGGGCGUAAAGAGCGUGUAGGCGGUCAGGUAGGUCCGUUGUGAAAACUCGAGGCUCAACCUCGAGACGCCGAUGGAAACCAUCUGACUAGAGUCCGGAAGAGGAGAGUGGAAUUCCUGGUGUAGCGGUGAAAUGCGUAGAUAUCUGGAGGAACACCGGUGGCGAAGGCGGCGAUCCUGGACCAACACUGACGCUGAGGAGCGAAAGCCAGGGGAGCAAACGGGG
rnacentral:rRNA from 1 species